AGUGAACGCUGGCGGUAGGCCUAACACAUGCAAGUCGAACGGCAGCACAGUAAGAGCUUGCUCUUACGGGUGGCGAGUGGCGGACGGGUGAGGAAUACAUCGGAAUCUACUUUUUCGUGGGGGAUAACGUAGGGUAACUUACGCUAAUACCGCAUACGACCUACGGGUGAAAGCAGGGGAUCUUCGGACCUUGCGCGAUUGAAUGCGCCGAUGUCGGAUUAGCUAGUUGGCGGGGUAAAGGCCCACCAAGGCGACGAUCCGUAGCUGGUCUGAGAGGAUGAUCGGCCACACUGGAACUGGGACACGGUCCAGACUCCUGCGGGAGGCAGCAGUGGGGAAUGUUGGACAAUGGGCGCAAGCCUGAUCCAGCCAUACCGCGUGGGUGAAGAAGGCGUUCGGGUUGUAAAGCCCUUUUGUUGGGAAAGAAAAGCAGCAGGUUAAUACCCCGCUGUUCUGACGGUACCCAAAGAAUAAGCACCGGCUAACUUCGUG
rnacentral:rRNA from 1 species